UAAAUAUAUUCACAUAUCAAAGCUCAGGCAAUAUUCGAGUAGUAGUAAACAGAUGGCAAAGAGUUUUUUCAGCUUUUAAAAAAGAAUCAUUUCAAAAAACAAAUCAUUUGUCACUUUCUCAUCCUCCUUUACCUAUCAUCCAAACCCAAAGCAAGCGCUACUUUCCUUUUAAAUAUAUUUAGUGUCACAAAUCUCCAACAUCAUCGACAGGCGACUACACAGAAAAAGACUGAAAAAUGCAAGAUCCACGCAAUCAUGUUCCAUCCUCUCCCACCAUCUCUUCCGUCUCUUCCUCUGAUCUUGAUACAGAGUCUACAGGAUCCUUCUUCCAUGACAGAAGCAUCACACUCUCGGGACGCUCAUGGGACUUAGUUUCUCAGCAACCAUGCCCAUGAUGCCCUUCAGAGCUUCUUCCCACCGACACGUGUCACCCUCCCUUACAACCUCCGACGCAACAACUCGCAACCAGAGGAAACGUCCUUCUUCGAACUCAGCUGAGCGGCAGCGACGCCGCAAGUGGUGGCGCUUUUGCCGAGACGACGACGAGGUCCCAGAAACGUGAUGCAACGCGGGGCCGGAGAUUGCAGUAGACGUUCGUCUCUCGGGGAGUAUCUGGAGGUGGAGCGGAGGUUUGGAGAUGAAGCCGUCUACGGCUCAGCCGAGGUGGAGCUAGAGGAUGCGGUGGCGCGUUACCGGAACAGCAGCCUGCGGUGGCGGAACGGGCGUUGUUCGCCGACGGGAGGGUUCUUCCUCCGGCUGAGAUUGUAACCGGAGAAAGUACACCGGAGGCUACGGCACUUUGUAGAUUCCCGGUUUCCUUAACCGGUAUAUGCAGCGGAGGAGGGUGAUAUAUCCGUCGUCGGUCCAUGUGCUUAUUUGUUUCUUUUAGAGAAAUUGUGUAAUCAAUUAUCUUUUUAGAAUUGUCAUUAAUCAUAUUGUUCGUGGGAAACAAUGGGAUGCAGUUUAAUAACAGCAACACAUAGUCAAACUAAA